UACGUAGGGUCCGAGCGUUGUCCGGAAUUACUGGGCGUAAAGAGCUCGUAGGUGGUUUGUCGCGUUGUUCGUGAAAACUCACAGCUCAACUGUGGGCGUGCGGGCGAUACGGGCAGACUUGAGUACUGCAGGGGGAGACUGGAAUUCCUGGUGUAGCGGUGGAAUGCGCAGAUAUCAGGAGGAACACCGGUGGCGAAGGCGGGUCUCUGGGCAGUAACUGACGCUGAGGAGCGAAAGCGUGGGGAGCGAACAGGA
rnacentral:rRNA from 1 species